rnacentral:rRNA from 1 species
UGCCGGAAUCCGACGCUCUCCCCAAGGACACAAGCCAUGCAUGCCCGCGCACCCGGGAGGCGGCGGACGGCUCAGGACAACGGUUGCACCCCCCGCGGCGGUCCCUGCUAGCCGGACACCGCUGGCAACCCGGCGCCAAGACGUGCGCGCAAGGGCGGGCGCCCGCGGGCGAGCAGCGUGACGCAGCGACGGCCCGCCCGGGCUUCCGGGGCAUCACCCGGUCGGCGCGGUCGCGGCGCGCCGAGGGCCCGACGCCUGGCGGAG